AAGUGCAUUCGGGUCAUAUGGUAC
rnacentral:siRNA from 1 species